CACGUAGGGCGCAAGCGUUGUCCGGAAUUAUUGGGCGUAAAGAGCUCGUAGGCGGUCUGUUGCGUCCGCUGUGAAAACUCGGGGCUUAACCCCGAGCCUGCAGUGGAUACGGGCAGACUAGAGGUAGGUAGGGGAGAAUGGAAUUCCCGGUGUAGCGGUGAAAUGCGCAGAUAUCGGGAGGAACACCGAUGGCGAAGGCAGCCCCCUGGGUCAAUACUGACGCUGAGGAGCGAAAGCCAGGGGAGCAAACGGG
rnacentral:rRNA from 1 species